CUGGUGGGUGAUCGCUGCGCUCUUAUCAUUUGUGAGCCCUUUCCUGAGGAGCUCAGGGGAGCCCUGGCUAUGGCUGCGGCCAGUGGGGUGUUAUCUCCUCUUAGGAGGGCAGGGAUGACUCCAGAUAGUGAGGGACACUGCAGGGUGAGUUGUGUUGAUUUUGGACACUCUUCUGCUGGAACCGGGCCACAGUGGCUUUUCCAUUAGAUGUGCUCUGUCCUAGGGCCCCACCAACUUAACUGUCCUCUUGUGAACUCUUGCAAACGAAAAGAGGAAAUGCUAGAGAAGACACUCAGAUUCCUAAACUAGAUUCCUGACAAAGUAACAAAAGAGGACGAAAUAUGAUGCCUUUCUGAUGGAAUGAAAAGCCAAAGAGCAAGUUUGGCCUUCAAGGAUCUGGUUCACAUCGUUUGGAGCUUCCCGGCCCUUACAGGCUAUGACAUGACGAGGGACCACUUGAACGGGAGGCCUCCAAAGGAAGCUACGGACCCACAGGAAGUGGGGAGAUGAGUCAAUGGGAGGGGUCCUUCCUCUGAGUCAGUCUGGUCUCAAUGUGACUCUGGAGUGGGCACUGGACUCCCGAAGCCAAAACAGAAUUAAGAUCUGAAACCAAGAGUUUGCUCACAAAGGAGCCUUCACAGGAAGCUGGUUAGGGAUGCCAGCUGAAGUCAGGCCACAGCAGGACUCUGUUCACUCUCUAACUUAGCCUGUUAUUCCGACUUCCUGGGAACUAUGGGCCACCAACGGCUUCUAAGUAAUUCGCUCUCAGGGAACCAGCAACCAAGAUGCAAUUCUGAAUUUCAUGGGACAGGAGAAUUUCCACUAUGAAAAUAUGAAAUCAUUAACUUAUUAAAGAAAACAGGAAAUGCAGCAGUGAUGAGCAUGGACACACAAGGUGGUACUAAGUUCAGAAUUAACUUUCAAGGAAUCAAACACAGGGCACACAGGGCACAGGACUAACUGCAUUAAUGUGAACACAGUGCUCGGCCAUUUAUCGCAUUGUUUCCAGAAUUCAAGCCCUUUUCCCCCAAACUCUAAAAAUGAAACAAACAGAAACCUUCAAGCUUCAUCUCUCCUCUCCUCUCAGAAGUUUCCUAAUUCACUACUUCAGGACGAACGUUUAUCUCGAAAUUUAAUUUUCUGUAGGAGAGAUUCAAAUUGUUGUCAGGCUGUGUUUUGCCUCUUCUGCAUCCACACCAGUGGGAAGGAUGCGGCAUUCAUAAAACUGCAGAUUCAAUACUAUCAUUUCCAUGGCGACAGAAGGCCACUUCACAGAGAAUUAUGAUUUCAUCAGGGCACCUUGAGGUGAAGAAAGUAGGUGGGAAAUAAAUGAACUAUAAAAAGCGAAA